rnacentral:rRNA from 1 species
UACGGAGGGUGCAAGCGUUAUCCGGAUUCACUGGGUUUAAAGGGUGCGUAGGUGGGCAGUUAAGUCAGUGGUGAAAUCUCCGGGCUUAACCCGGAAACUGCCAUUGAUACUAUCUGUCUUGAAUAUCGUGGAGGUAAGCGGAAUAUGUCAUGUAGCGGUGAAAUGCUUAGAUAUCACAUAGAACACCAAUUGCGAAGGCAGCUUACUACCCGAAUAUUGACACUGAGGCACGAAAGCGUGGGGAUCAAACAGG